UACGAAGGGGGCUAGCGUUGUUCGGAAUUACUGGGCGUAAAGCGCACGUAGGCGGAUUUGUAAGUCAGGGGUGAAAUCCCGGGGCUCAACCUCGGAACUGCCUUUGAUACUGCAAGUCUCGAGUCCGAUAGAGGUGAGUGGAAUUCCUAGUGUAGAGGUGAAAUUCGUAGAUAUUCGCAAGAACACCAGUGGCGAAGGCGGCUCACUGGCCCGAUACUGACGCUGAGGCACGAAAGCGUGGGGAGCAAACAGG
rnacentral:rRNA from 1 species